rnacentral:rRNA from 1 species
UACAGAGGUGGCAAGCGUUGUUCGGAAUUACUGGGCGUAAAGGGCUCGUAGGCGGCCAACUAAGUCCGACGUGAAAUCCCAAGGCUUAACCUUGGAACUGCGUCGGAUACUGGAUGGCUUGAAUUCGGGAGAGGGAUGCAGAAUUCCAGGUGUAGCGGUGAAAUGCGUAGAUAUCUGGAGGAAUACCGGUGGCGAAGGCGGCAUCCUGGACCGACAUUGACGCUGAUGAGCGAAAGCUAGGGGAGCAAACGGG